CUGGUGUCACAACUAGCAGGUCAGCGUCAAAGCCUACAAGAGAGAAGAAAUCAAGCGAGAGGAGGGGGUGAUAAAUUUCGUCAUGGCUCCAUUUGCCAGAGGCACUAAGGCCCAAAGUGACCUGGAUUGGGGUUGUGGAGGACUGGAUGGGGCAAGGGAGGGAUGCUCUUUGUGAUCUCGUCAGAAAGGAUUGUAUUUCCUUGAGUGCCUCGUUCUACAGGAUAGAAUUAAUACAAGACAAGAAACAAUCAUGACCAUCUAAUCACCUCUCAACAAAUAAUUCCAGGUAAGAUGCUUAUGCAACAGCAAAGAAGAAAAUUCUGACAGGCAAGAGCAAGUCUUGACAGAGCACAAGUGUUGUGAUCUCAUUAGUAGCCUAAGGCUACUUGCAACCUUUCCUUGUGCUGAGAAAGAGCCAAGUAACCUCACUUGAGCCAUGUGUACUGCUGCCUCGCAACAGAGCAUGUACUUGGACGUCUUUUCAGAUGUAUGAUAUUGCAAAAUCGUGCAGUCAUGGAACAAAAGAGUUUCAGCUGCUAAAAUGCUAUCUUCCAGUGACCAUACACAUACACACAUAAAACCUGAUGAAUUUGGUACAAAAAGGAGGAGAAGUAUUCUCUGUCCCUGGGUUAAUUUUCUGCCAGGGUUAGCCCUAGAAUCACCAGCAUUCCUGUGUGGCCUGGCAAGUGAG